UACAGAGGUCCCAAGCGUUGUUCGGAUUCACUGGGCGUAAAGGGUGCGUAGGCGGUCGGGUAAGUCUGAUGUGAAAUCUCGCAGCUUAACUGUGAAACUGCAUUGGAUACUAUCCGGCUCGAGGAAUGGAGGGGAGACUGGAAUUCCUGGUGUAGCGGUGAAAUGCGCAGAUAUCAGGAGGAACACCGGUGGCGAAGGCGGGUCUCUGGGCCGAUAUUGACGCUGAGGAGCGAAAGCGUGGGGAGCGAACAGG
rnacentral:rRNA from 1 species